GAUGAACGCUGGCGGCGUGCCUAAUACAUGCAAGUCGAGCGAACGGACGAUAAGCUUGCUUCUCUCAUGUUAGCGGCGGACGGGUGAGUAACAUGUGGAUAACCUACCUAUAAUACUGGGAUAACUUCGGGAAACCGGAGCUAAUACCGGAUAAUAUUUUGAUCCGCAUGGUUCAAAAGUGAAAGACGGUCUUGCUGUCACGUAUCGCUGGAUCCCCGCUGCAUUAGCUAGUUGGUAAGGUAACGGCUUUCCAAGGCAACCAUGCCUAGCCGACGUGAGUGGGGGAUCGGCCGCCCUAGAGCUGAGACACGGUCCAGACGCCUACGGGAGGGAGCAGUAGGGAAUGUGCCGCAAUGGUGGAAAGCCUGACGGAGCAACGCCGCGCGAGUGAUGGAGGUCUUCGGAUCGUAAAACUCUGUUUUUGGGGAAGAACAGAUGUGGAAGUAACUGUGCAGAGCUUGACGGUACCUAAUCAGAAAGCCACGGCUAACUACGUG
rnacentral:rRNA from 1 species